AGCUGUGUCUCUUGAUCAAUAGGUAUAGAAAAAAUGCAUUACUUAAAUCAAUGACAGUGAAGCAAGUGGCAUCAUGUGGAAUGGCUGUAAUGAGGGAUGUCAUAUCAGGGACAAUGGGUGAAAUGGGCACAAUUAAACUAUUCAGGGCUCUAAAGUCCUGAACUAAGCGAUAUGCUGGCCAGUGGUGUUGGGAGUGGGUCUGGUGUUGUUCUUGCCUACCGGGCAUAUUUUGAGAAAGGUGGGGUUGUUGGGGUGUGUGGGGUUUCCUGGGGUUUCCUGGGGUGUGGACACUCAUUCCUCCAGUGGCCAUAUUGGCCACAGUUGAAACAAGUGUUCCUGUCUAUUCCUCCUUGGUUACCCCUAUAACCCUGAUUUCCCUGUCUCCAUCCCCUUGCCCCUCUUUGACCACCCCUUCCACGGGCUUUAUGUGCUCCAUCCCAUCCUCGCUCUCAGCCUGUGUAGCUGGACAGUGUUGCAAUCCCUGAGCAUAAUAAGCAACCUUACUUUCCUAAAUCUUUUCUUAAUUCAAAACAACCUGCAUUUUCCUUUUCUAUAACCUUGGUAAGAAACUCUGAGCUAUCCAAAUUGGCCCAGUCUGAAAUCAAUUGUUUCACAAGCAAAGAAUACUGUGGCAACAUAUUACCAAGGCAUGACUGUAUUUUAAAAAGAUCUAUAUCAUCUCCAGACAUCAAACCUGCCUCAUCCUUCCAACACUUGUAAAAUUUAUUUACAAAAAUCAUAUUACCAAUCUCUUCCUUUGCAUCUUGCUUAUAUGCCAAAGCAGUGAAUAUAGACUACCUAUUCUUCCAUAAUCCCAACAUUUCAGCUUCCACCUUGUUCCAAAUUUUAGCACAUCUUACUGAAGUACUAAGCUCAUAAUCACCAAUUCAUUUCAAACCAUAUAACUCAUACUCAGCAUCCAAUGUAAUAUUAGUCAUCUCAUAAAACAAUAUCUUUGUAGAAACACAUAAUGGGUACCCAGCAGAUAUGCCAAUACAGAAAUCACAUUUAUGGGCACACAACUACACACUCUGUGUCCCUCCUAGGAAACACGGAUAGACACAAUAUAAAAGCAAUCUUAAACUAACACCUCCAAAUCUCCAACUAUUCUUGGCCAAAACGCUAGUAUUCAACAACUAAUAAAACAGUUAUUUGCUAGGUUAUUUGGCUGUCAUUCU